rnacentral:rRNA from 1 species
GACGUAGGGGACGAGCGUUGUCCGGAUUCAUUGGGCGUAAAGAGCUCGUAGGUGGUUCGGUAAGUCGGAUGUGAAAUCUCCAGGCUCAACCUGGAGGGGUCAUUCGAUACUGCCGUGACUAGAGUUCGGUAGGGGAGUGUGGAAUUCCUGGUGGAGCGGUGAAAUGCGCAGAUAUCAGGAGGAACACCCGUAGCGAAGGCGGCACUCUGGGCCGAUACUGACACUGAGGAGCGAAAGCGUGGGGAGCGAACAGG